rnacentral:rRNA from 1 species
UACAGAGGGUGCAAGCGUUAAUCGGAAUUACUGGGCGUAAAGCGUGCGUAGACGGUUAUGUAAGUCAGGUGUGAAAGCCCCGGGCUCAACCUGGGAAUUGCAUUUGAGACUGCAUAGCUAGGGUGCGGAAGAGGGAAGCGGAAUUUCCGGUGUAGCGGUGAAAUGCGUAGAUAUCGGGAGGAACACCAGUGGCGAAAGCGGCUUCCUGGUCCAGCACCGACGUUCAGGCACGAAAGCGUGGGGAGCAAACAGG